CCUACGGGAGGCAGCAGUGAGGAAUAUUGGUCAAUGGACGAGAGUCUGAACCAGCCAAGUAGCGUGAAGGAUGACUGCCCUAUGGGUUGUAAACUUCUUUUAUAUGGGAAUAAAAUGUUCCACGUGUGGGAUUUUGUAUGUACCAUAUGAAUAAGGAUCGGCUAACUCCGUGCCAGCAGCCGCGGUAAUACGGAGGAUCCGAGCGUUAUCCGGAUUUAUUGGGUUUAAAGGGUGCGUAGGCGGGCUUUUAAGUCAGCGGUAAAAAUUCGGGGCUCAACCCCGUCCGGCCGUUGAAACUGGGGGCCUUGAGUGGGCGAGAAGAAGGCGGAAUGCGUGGUGUAGCGGUGAAAUGCAUAGAUAUCACGCAGAACCCCGAUUGCGAAGGCAGUUCACUGGACUGCAACUGACACUGAGGCUCGAAAGUGUGGGUAUCAAACAGGAUUAGAUACCCCAGUAGUC
rnacentral:rRNA from 1 species